rnacentral:rRNA from 1 species
AGAGUUUGAUCCUGGCUCAGANNCANCGCUGGCGGCGCGCCUAACACAUGCAAGUCGAGCGAGAAAGUGGAGCAAUCCAUGAGUAAAGCGGCGUACGGGUGAGUAACACGUGGGUGAUCUACCUCUUAGUGGGGAAUAACCCUGGGAAACCGGGGCUAAUACCGCAUAAGCCUUAGCAGGGAAAGUCGUAAGACGCUGAGAGAGGAGCCCGCGGCCGAUUAGCUAGUUGGCAGGGUAAAAGCCUACCAAGGCAUAGAUCGGUAGCCGGCCUGAGAGGGCACACGGCCACACUGGCACUGAAACACGGGCCAGACUCCUACGGGAGGCAGCAGUGGGGAAUCUUGCACAAUGGGGGAAACCCUGAUGCAGCGACGCCGCGUGAGCGAUGAAGCCCUUCGGGGUGUAAAGCUCUUUCGGCAGGGAAGAUGAUGACGGUACCUGCAGAAGCAGCUGCGGCUAACUACGUGCCAGCAGCCGCGGUAAUACGUAGGCAGCAAGCGUUGUUCGGAGUUACUGGGCGUAAAGGGUGCGUAGGCGGUUGUUUAAGUUUGGUGUGAAAUCUCCCGGCUCAACUGGGAGGGUGCGCCGAAUACUGAAUGACUCGAGUGCGGGAGAGGAGAGUGGAAUUCCUGGUGUAGCGGUGAAAUGCGUAGAUAUCAGGAGGAACACCGGUGGUGUAGACGGCUCUCUGGACCGUAACUGACGCUGAGGCACGAAAGCGUGGGUAGCAAACAGGAUUAGAUACCCUGG